rnacentral:rRNA from 1 species
CCCCUAGUAACGGCGAGUGAAGCGGGAAGAGCUCAAAUUUAAAAUCUGGCAAUCUUUGGUUGUCCGAAUUGUAAUCUAGAGAAGCGUUUUCUGCGCUGGACUGUGUGCAAGUUUCCUGGAUACGGAACAUCAUAGAGGGUGAGAAUCCCGUCCUUGACACAGACUCCCAGUGCUCUGUGAUGCGCUCUCGACGAGUCGAGUUGUUUGGGAUUGCAGCUCAAAAUGGGAGGUAAAUUCCUUCUAAAGCUAAAUAUUGGCGAGAGACCGAUAGCGAACAAGUACCGUGAGGGAAAGAUGAAAAGCACUUUGGAAAGAGAGUUAAACAGUACGUGAAAUUGUUAAAAGGGAAACGCUUGAAGUCAGUCGCGUUUGCCUGGACUCAACCACACCGUUCGGUUUGGUGCAUUUCCUUGUAGACGGGCCAGCGUUCAUGUUGUUUGCCGGAGAAGGGGCGAGGGAAUGUGGCUCCUUUGGGAGUGUUAUAGCCCUCGCUCGCAUGCGGGGAAUGAUAUGGAGUGGAACAGCACGCUUCGGUGGUGCUUGUGUUGGCAUAAUGGCUUUAAACGACCCGUCUUGAAACACGGACCAAGGAGUCUAACAUGUCUGCGAGUGUUUGGGUGGAAAACCCGGGCGCGUAAUGAAAGUGGAUGGCUGGGAACCCCGUUUGGGAGGCACCGGCGCCCCGAGCUGACCUUCUGUGACGCAUCGGAGGCAGAGCAUAUAUGUUGGGACCCGAAAGAUGGUGAACUAUGCCUGAAUAGGGCGAAGCCAGAGGAAACUCUGGUGGAGGCUCGUAGCGAUUCUGACGUGCAAAUCGAUCGUCAAAUUUGGGUAUAGGGGCGAAAGACUAAUCGAACCAUCUAGUA